CGUUACUCAGUUCAGAUUGCAGGCUGCAACCCGCCUGCAUGAAGUCGGAAUUGCUAGUAAUCGCGGAUCAGCAUGCCGCGGUGAAUACGUUCCCGGGCCUUGUACACACCGCCCGUCACACCAUGGGAGCCGGUAAUACCCGAAGUCAGUAGUCCAACCACGUGAGGACGCUGCCGAAGGUAGGAUUGGCGACUGGGGUGAAGUCGUAACAAGGUAUC
rnacentral:rRNA from 1 species